UCGAACGCGAAAGGGUAGCAAUAUCCGAGUAGAGUGGCGAACGGGUGAGUAAUGUGUGGGUAAUCUGCCUUCGAGAGGGGGAUAACCCGGCGAAAGCUGGGCUAAUACCGCGUAACACUGCUUGGAUCUCGGUCCGAGUAGUCAAAUGAUGGCCUCUAUUUAUAAGCUAUCGCUCGAAGAUGAGCCCACAUCCUAUCACGCUUGUUGGUGGGGUAACGGCCCACCAAGGCGACGACGGGUAGCCGGCCUGAGAGGGUGUCCGGCCACACUGGAACUGAGACACGGUCCAGACUCCUACGGGAGGCAGCAGUGGGGAAUUUUUCGCAAUGGGCGCAAGCCUGACGAAGCAACGCCGCGUGGAGGAUGACGGCCCUAGUGGUCUUAAACUCCUGUCUAGCGGGACGAAUGUUUUCAGGGUGAACAAUCCUGGAGAGUGACUGUACCGCUGGAGGAAGCUCCGGCCAACUCCGUGCCAGCAGCCGCGGUAAUACGGAGGGAGCAAGCGUUACUCGGAAUUAUUGGGCGUAAAGGGCGCGUAGGCGAUUGGGUAAGUCCUUUGUGAAAGCCCCCGGCUUAACCGGGGAAGUGCAGGGGAAACUACUCAAUUUGAGUUCCGGAGAGGAAGGCAGAAUUCCCGGUGUAGCGGUGAAAUGCGUAGAGAUCGGGAGGAAUACCAGUGGCGAAGGCGGCCUUCUGGACGGAUACUGACGCUGAGGCGCGAAAGCCAGGGGAGCAAACGGGAUUAGAUAC
rnacentral:rRNA from 1 species